AGUGGAUGGGGAGCAACCUAGUUGUGCGUGUGUAAAGGUAGUGCCAAGAAAAGCGAUGAUCAUGUUGAAAAUCAAUUCCCGGUACCCGAAACCGACACAGGUGGGCAAGUAGAGAAUACUAAGGGGCGCGAGGUAACUCUCUCCAAGGAACUCGGCAAAAUGACCCCGUAACUUAGGGAGAAGGGGUGCCACCGAGAGGUGGUCGCAGUGAAGAGGCCCAGGCGACUGUUUAGCAAAAACAUAGGUCUCUGCAAACUCGAAAGAGGAGGUAUAGGGGCUGACGCCUGCCCAGUGCCGGAAGGUUAAAGAAGUUGGUCAGUUUUAGGAUGAAGCUAGCGACUGAAGCCCCGGUGAACGGCGGCCGUAACUAUAACGGUCCUAAGGUAGCGAAAUUCCUUGUCGGGUAAGUUCCGACCCGCACGAAAGGCGUAACGAUCUGGGCGCUGUCUCGGAGAGAGGCUCGGCGAAAUAGGAUUGUCUGUGAAGAUACGGACUACCUGCAUUUGGACAGAAAGACCCUACGAAGCUUUACUAUAGCUUGGAAUUGUGUUCGGGCUUCCUGUGCGCAGGAUAGGUGGGAGGCGUAGAAGGUAUUCUUGUGGGGAUACUGGAGCCAACGGUGAGAUACCACUCUCAGGAGGCUAGAAUUCUAACUUAAUUAAGGACAGUUUCAGGUGGGUAGUUUGACUGGGGCGGUCGCCUCCAAAAAGGUAACGGAGGCGUACAAAGGUUCCCUCAGACUGGAUGGAAAUCAGUCGAAGAGUGCAAAGGCAGAAGGGAGCUUGACUGCGAGAAGUACAGUUCGAGCAGGGUGGAAACACGGUCUUAGUGAUCCGACGGUGCUGUGUGGAAGGGCCGUCGCUCAACGGAUAAAAGUUACUCUAGGAUAACAGGCUGAUCUCCCCCAAGAGUUCACAUCGACGGGGAGGUUUGGCACCUCGAUGUCGGCUCAUCGCAACCUGGGGCGGAAGUACGUCCCAAGGGUUGGGCUGUUCGCCCAUUAAAGCGGUACGUGAGCUGGGUUCAGAACGUCGUGAGACAGUUCGGUCCAUAUCCGAUGUAGGCGUGAGAAUAUUGAGAGGAGCCUUCCUUAGUACGAGAGGACCGGGAAGGACGCACCGCUGGUGUACCUGUUAUGAUGCCAAUUGUAAACGCAGGGUAGCCAAGUGCGGAGAGGAUAACCGCUGAAAGCAUCUAAGUGGGAAGCCCACCUCAAGAUGAGUAUUCUGGUGUAAGGUCACGGGAGGACGACCCGUAAAUAGGCACGAGGUGGAAGUGCAGAGAUGUAUGAAGCCGAAGUGUACUAAUAGACCGUCGGCUUGACCU
rnacentral:rRNA from 1 species